AAACUUUUAUCAAAACUUUGUUUGAAGAAACCAGAAGCUGUCCACAAGAAGUGAGAAGUUAUGGACUCCAUCUUUGCUAAAUCCAGGACCAGAAGUUAUGUAAAACAGCUGGACUGAAUUACAACAUUCUGUUCAGAAGACUGAAUGGCCUGCAGCACAAUUCCAGUGUAUUCUAAUGCACCAUGGAAAUCAGCCUGCCUGACCUCCCAAGUGAACUGGCUUGGAUUAAAAACCCUUUUAAUCGAGACCAACACAACCGAUACAAAGGAAAAGUUGUAAAUGAGAAAGGCUCAGGAGAAUCUUUCCUGCAGACUUUAAGAGAAUGCCCAUGGAAGUUUCCUUCAUGCCCCACCCUGCAAAAAUGGGAGGACUCCCUCCAAGAGCUGUGAAAAUCAGUAAUUUCCCGUAAGAAUAAAACAGCAAUUACCUAGGCUUGGUCUAAAAGUAUGGAAGUGCCUCUGUGCAAAUGGAUAAAGUAUCUCAUGCCCACAGCUUAACAAAGUAAGUUCUGAUAUGCAGCAAACCAACAAUUCCAUUGUAUAGGAAGAGUAUUUGAAGAAAUCAAACUACAAAAGAACAGUAAAACUCCACCAAAAUAUUAUGAUUUAGUAUGACAGGCAAAUCAUUCUUACAGCCUCCAGCCAAGCAAAAAUAAUGUUUGUAGACUGCUUGUAAAGUUCCUCACGUAAGUCGUUAGCAGCUCUGCAUAGACUGGAGUAGGUUACUCGCUGUCCUCAGAACAGCUCUUGUGCUGCUGAAGACAGAAAUGCCAGAGGUCUGAUCUGCUGCGUGGAACAGAUUUGGCCUUAUUAUCUACUUAAGUCAAGACAGAAUUCCAGAACAAAGUGAAAACAUGAAGUUUGUAAAACAGUAGUAUCACACUCAGUUAUAAAUAAUGUUGACAUGGAACCUUCCCCAAAUAUGUGGUGACAUAAUUUUGCUUUGAUCAUCUUCUACUGUUUCUAGCACGGCCCGGUGAAGCACCAAUCUCUAUUUGUUACUGAUCCUGUUACAACACGACUAAAGAGGCACAAGGUAUUUUUGUCUCUGCCAAACAGCAUUAUUAACAUGAUUUUAGGCUUCUACUGGAUAGUCCGAGCCAUUGCCCAUCUGUAAGCUAAAGAAACAGAAUCAGCAGUUCAAUCACUCAGCAACCUUAACAGGGCAACUUACUCAUAAAGGGUUUCUAAUGAUGGCAGUAGGUUUCUUCAAGGACACAAUAAAAGCCACUCUACAAGACACAGAGUUGUGUAAGAGGCAGCUUUCCCUUACACAAACUAGCAGUCCAUCCUCUUUCAGUCAUUAAGGGAUCUCAGAAGAACUUCACCUUAAGUCAUUAGAGACACAUGACAUUAAGCCCUUGGAGAUACACAUUAUAUUAACCACUGUCUUAAAGCUCUGACUUGAAUUAGUUCCAAAAAUGCAAAGGUUUUUCACGCCAGCAGGCAACUGAGCGGAAGUGGAGAUCCUUCCACAUGAAGAGAACUUGGACGAGAAUCCCCUGAUCUGCCCAUACAAAUAAAACAUACACAUGUUGAAAUUUGUCCGCAAAUCCAAAUUUGCCUGCAAAUUCACAAAUACUAUGCAAAUAGAGGCAAACAGCUUUUGCACAAUUCAACCAUAUAAUUUGUUUUCUAACUCUUUCAGAGGACAUAAAAUUUGGAAAACCUCGUGUAAGGAAAAUAAUCCAAAACAAAACAACUUAAUGCAAAAUGUACGGGACUUAGUGGUGUGGAAAUUAUAAGGAAUAAAAAGCUUAGAUGCCAUUUUCAAUGCUUUUAAACUUGUAUUUGAACAAACUGAGCACUAUCAGAGGGCACAAAAACUCAUUUGCAGUUUAUUUGUGGCACCUGAGAAAAUAACUAAUGACAUACUAACUAACUGGACAUCUUCCAUCUGCAAUCACUGGAGACAGGAUGGGGGAAUGAAAGAAAGGAUAGUUUCUGACCCAAGUCUUUUAAAAUGACAAUGGGAAAAAAAUGAGAGGAAAAAAAAAUAAUACUCUUGAUUACUUCAGAAGGCAAUUCCCACAUCCAGUCUGUAAUUUUUCCCUUGCUCACCUUUGUAUGAAUUCCUCCCUUCCUUGUACUAUUCUAUGUCAUCUCUAUCCUAAAUCCCAUGAGCCUCCCACAGAUCUUAUACACUAGUGUCCCACAGGAAAAGGAGAGCUUUCAUCAAUGAGAGGAAAACAGUUGGCUUUAGGGGUUUCUAAUGAACUCACACACAGCCUGUACUUUCUCUGAUUACAACUACCUGAAAGGAGGUUGUAGCAAGGUGGUGCUUGGUCUCUUCCUCCAAGUAACAAGUAAUAGGACGAGUAAAUGGCCUCAAGUUGUGCUGUGGGAGGUUUAGAUUGGGUAUUAGGAAAAAUUUCCCAAUGCAAAGGGCUGUCAAGCCCUGGA